rnacentral:tRNA from 2 species
AGGCGCGUAGCUUAGUUGGUAAAGCACUUGUCUCCAAAACAAGCGAGCGCAGGUUCGACCCCUGCCGCGCCUG